rnacentral:sRNA from 1 species
AUGAAAUGUUACUAUUUAUAUAUAUCUUCCCU